rnacentral:rRNA from 1 species
UGGGGGAAACGCCCGGUCCCAUUCCGAACCCGGAAGCUAAGACCCACAGCGCCGAUGGUACUGCACCCGGGAGGGUGUGGGAGAGUAGGA